GAAACCUCUCAUUUUCUUCUACCUUCUUCUUCUCCGUAAUCAAUCUUCAACAAAAUUGAAGAAAAUAAACGAGAAAAACCCUAGAUUCGGUGAAACCAUUACAAAAUCAAUUGAAACCAUCACAAAAUCAACUGAAAAACCAGAUCUAACCAAAAAAAUUGUGAAAAGAAGAAGAAAAAUAUGUUGAUACUCAAUCAACAACAAAGAAGAAGAAGAAGAAAUUUGUUGGUAUUCAACCAACAACAACGAAGAGAAAAGAGAUAAUGUAGUGCAUGAUGUUCAAGUGAAAGAUGGAGAUAAUGUAGUACAGGAUGCACCAUUAUAGACGAAUCAGCCGUGCAAGAUGGGUUCUAUCUCUCCAAAAUUUUCGUUCCUUGUUAUUUCAGGAAGUUCGAGUGCGGUUCGCAGGAUCACUCCAGAUGAGUAUGAGUUGCUUAAUGUAAGGAAGCAUGUAAGGCAUAGCUCUAUCCUUUAUUUAGCAGCAGAAUGUGGUGCACUACUUCCUGGAGACUUGGUAUUCCGUUUUCUGGAAAAGCAAGUCCAAGCUUUUUACUUAGAUGCCCAUGUACUUAAUGCACAAAUAUGGAGACACGAUGUUCGUGGAUGUUGUUGUAGAUUUCUUGUGCAUUAUGAUCAUGACCAGUUUGUAAUGGUUUAUGAUCAAUAUUCUUCUCAACGCAAAAUGUCGACUUAUGUGCUGACUGUUUACCUAGUAGACAUAGAUAUGUAUUGUA